UACAGAGGGUGCGAGCGUUGUUCGGAAUUAUUGGGCGUAAAGGGCGCGUAGGCGGUGCGGUAAGUCACCUGUGAAAUCUCCUGGCUCAACUGGGAGCUUGCAGGCGAAACUGCCGUGCUGGAGUGUGGGAGAGGUGCGUGGAAUUCCUGGUGUAGCGGUGAAAUUCGUAGAUAUCGGGAGGAACACCAGUGGCGAAGGCGGCGAUCUGGGUCGAUACUGACGCUGAGGUGCGAAAGCGUGGGGAGCAAACAGG
rnacentral:rRNA from 1 species